UCUUGAUUAAAAGUAUAGAUAAUGCACAAGUGGCUUUAACUUAGAAAAACAGUUUCAACUUAACGCCUAAGCAUACAACAAAAUCAAGAUCUGGUUAUAGUUAAUUACUUACGUAUAUAGAAAUACAAAACACAAGGAUACGUUUUUGAGAGAGAUAGGAAUGAAGAAAAGGAGUGUGGUGAUAAUUAUUGUAGUGUUGGUGAUGGCUAACAUGGAACAAGAAGCACAAGAAUUGACUUUUUUUUAUUGCUUGAACAAGUACCAUAAACAGGAUCCGAUCCUCCUUUCUGUAAGAAAAUAUUGUUUGACUAUGCUUUUCAAUGCAUGUUCUUUAAGAGUCGACCAAGCAAACAUCUCGCUGAAAUAACAUCUCUACGCGAUACAUGCCCCCGACCACCUAAUGCUCCAUGACAAUCAUCACAGUAAUUAUUUAUUUUGUAUUUGCGUUCAUCUUUAGACCAUUAAAACAUAGUAUUUUGUUAGAAAGAUAAAACAGCAUUUUAAUGUUUCUAUCAAACGUGUUUUCUUUAUGUAUAAUUGCAACUGAUAGUUGUAAGUAUAAACUUAUAAAUGUUUUCGGUUAAAACAAUCAUACGUACUCAUGUGUUUACCUUCUAGUGUUGUGCAUAUGGAGAAGUUGACCUUGUUUAUAAAUAUGUUGACAUUGCAGGAUAGAAACCUGGUAUAGGAAUGAGAAAAGGAAGAUAAUAGAUGUUCAUGGUUAAAUAUUCUUGAUUUUGCAUGUGACAAAUGAUAGACCAAUAAAAAUUUCAAAUAUUUACUUAAUUAAAGAGUUUGAUAAUCAAUACGUAGAUUAGGGAUCCUAUUUAAUAUCUUC
rnacentral:lncRNA from 1 species